rnacentral:rRNA from 1 species
AGUGAACGCUGGCGGUAGGCCUAACACAUGCAAGUCGAACGGCAGCACAGUAAGAGCUUGCUCUUACGGGUGGCGAGUGGCGGACGGGUGAGGAAUACAUCGGAAUCUACUUUUUCGUGGGGGAUAACGUAGGGAAACUUACGCUAAUACCGCAUACGACCUACGGGUGAAAGCAGGGGAUCUUCGGACCUUGCGCGAUUGAAUGAGCCGAUGUCGGAUUAGCUAGUUGGCGGGUUAAAGGCCCACCAAGGCGACGAUCCGUAGCUGGUCUGAGAGGAUGAUCAGCCACAAUGGAACUGAGAAACGGUCCAGAAGCUUAUGGGAGGCAGCAGUGGGGAAUAUUGGACAAUGGGCGCAAGCCUGCUCCGGCCAGACAGAAUGGGUGAAGUAGGCAUUCGGGUUGUAAAGUCAUUUUGUUGGGAAAGAAAAGCAGCAGAUUAAUACCCCGCUGUUCUGACGGUACCCAAAGAAUAAGCACCGGCUAACUUCGU